rnacentral:rRNA from 1 species
UACGAAGGGGGCUAGCGUUGCUCGGAUUUACUGGGCGUAAAGGGCGCGUAGGCGGAUGUUUAAGUCAGGGGUGAAAUCCUGGAGCUCAACUCCAGAACUGCCUUUGAUACUGAAGAUCUUGAGUUCGGGAGAGGUGAGUGGAACUGCGAGUGUAGAGGUGAAAUUCGUAGAUAUUCGCAAGAACACCAGUGGCGAAGGCGGCUCACUGGCCCGAUACUGACGCUGAGGCACGAAAGCGUGGGGAGCAAACAGG